GACGAACGCUGGCGGCGUGCUUAACACAUGCAAGUCGAACGGCAAGGCCCUGCUUUUGUGCGGUGCUCGAGUGGCGAACGGGUGAGUAACACGUGAGUAACCUGCCCUUGACUUUGGUAUAACUUCAGGAAACUGGGGCUAAUACCGGAUAGGAGCUCCUGCUGCAUGGUGGGGGUUGGAACGUUUCGGCGGUUGGGGAUGGACUCGCGGCUUAUCAGCUUGUUGGUGGGGUAGUGGCUUACCAAGGCUUUGACGGGUAGCCGGCCUGAGAGGGUGACCGGCCACAUUGGGACUGAGAUACGGCCCAGACUCCUACGGGAGGCAGCAGUGGGGAAUAUUGCACAAUGGGCGGAAGCCUGAGGCAGCAACGCCGCGUGCGGGAUGACGGCCUUCGGGUUGUAAACCGCUUUCGCCUGUGACGAAGCGUGAGUGACGGUAAUGGGUAAAGAAGCACCGGCUAACUACGUG
rnacentral:rRNA from 1 species